rnacentral:lncRNA from 1 species
CAGGGGGACGUAAGUGAAUCAUGAGGGCCAGUCUUUCCUAUGCUAUUCUCAUGAUAGUGAAUAAGUCUCACGAGAUCUGAUGGGUUUAUCAGGAGUUUCCACUUUUGCUUCUUCCUCAUUCUCUCUUGGUGCCACCAUGUAAGAAGUGCCUUUCACUUCCUGCCAUGAUUCUGAAGUCCCCCCAGCCAUGUGGAACUGAUACCCCAUGGUUCUCCUACCACCAGAUGCUACUGAGGCUAAACUGACUGGACUGAGGAAAAAUAUCUGUGGGGAAAACUUUCUUUCAGAAUCCAACUUUGAACCAGAGAAAUCCAUUCUCUUGAAGCUGUCUGCUGUGGAGAAGUUGGCCUUACCAAUCUGCCUUUGAAGUUCAAGUUAUACAGGAUCUGCGAGGCUACCUGUGAAUGAAUGGUUGGUUGGUCACUACUUGCAAGUUUUUCAGGAGCUCCUGAAAGAUUACUGCAUAAAUAAGGGAAGAUGGAGACCAGACCUCUGGCUACUGUUGCUGCCACCACUACAGAUACCACCUUCACCCUUAUGAACCCCCUAUUUACUGAACAUUCUCUAUAUGCCAGAUGCAAAAUUGGCUACCACAUUGGAAACUGAUAUUGAAUUUCUCAACGAGUCCAACAGAGUCAGUUUUCCUCCAACACUGAAACAGACCUUGCUUUCUUCAGUUGAGCAACAACUAAAGAUUAUGGACCCAGCUCGUGUGGAGGUGCCAUAUUGCAUAAACAGUGCAUACAGUGAGCCCUCGCAUUCACACUCAGCAUGAUGUGAUUACGACAUUACAAAGAACAGAAAAGUAUCCCCGUGACCCUUGUCCACCACCACAUACCAC